rnacentral:rRNA from 1 species
AUUGAACGCUGGCGGCAUGCCUUACACAUGCAAGUCGAACGGUAACAGGUCUUUCGGGAUGCUGACGAGUGGCGAACGGGUGAGUAAUACAUCGGAACGUGCCUAGUAGUGGGGGAUAACUACUCGAAAGAGUGGCUAAUACCUCAUGAGAUCUAUGGAUGAAAGCAGGGGACCUUUGGGCCUUGUGCUACUAGAGCGGCCGAUGGCAGAUUAGGUAGUUGGUGGGAUAAAAGCUUACCAAGCCUACGAUCUGUAGCUGGUCUGAGAGGACGAUCAGCCACACUGGGACUGAGACACGGCCCAGACUCCUACGGGAGGCAGCAGUGGGGAAUUUUGGACAAUGGGCGCAAGCCUGAUCCAGCAAUGCCGCGUGCAGGAUGAAGGCCUUCGGGUUGUAAACUGCUUUUGUACGGAACGAAAAGUCUUGGGUUAAUACCCUGGGAUCAUGACGGUACCGUAAGAAUAAGCACCGGCUAACUACGUG